rnacentral:rRNA from 1 species
CGAGUCGCAAGACCGCGAGGUUUAGCAAAUCUCUUAAAGCCGUUCUCAGUUCGGAUUGUAGGCUGCAACUCGCCUACAUGAAGUCGGAAUCGCUAGUAAUCGCGGAUCAGCAUGCCGCGGUGAAUACGUUCCCGGGCCUUGUACACACCGCCCGUCACACCAUGAGAGUUUGUAACACCCAAAGCCGGUGGGGUAACCUUUUGGAGCCAGCCGUCUAAGGUGGGACAGAUGAUUGGGGUGAAGUCGUAACAAGGUAGC